rnacentral:rRNA from 1 species
AGUGAACGCUGGCGGUAGGCCUAACACAUGCAAGUCGAACGGCAGCACAGUAAGAGCUUGCUCUUACGGGUGGCGAGUGGCGGACGGGUGAGGAAUACAUCGGAAUCUACUUUUUCGUGGGGGAUAACGUAGGGAAACUUACGCUAAUACCGCAUACGACCUACGGGUGAAGGCAGGGGAUCUUCGGACCUUGCGCGAUUGAAUUAGCCGAUGUCGGAUUAGCUAGUUGGCGGGGUAAAGGCCCACCAAGGCGACGAUCCGUAGCUGGUCUGAGAGGAUGAUCAGCCACACUGGAACUGAGACACGGUCCAGACUCCUACGGGAGGCAGCAGUGGGGAAUAUUGGACAAUGGGCGCAAGCCUGAUCCAGCCAUACCGCGUGGGUGAAGAAGGCCUUCGGGUUGUAAAGCCCUUUUGUUGGGAAAGAAAAGCAGCAGGUUAAUACCCCGCUGUUCUGACGGUACCCAAAGAAUAAGCACCGGCUAACUUCGUG